CCUACGGGAGGCAGCAGUGAGGAAUAUUGGUCAAUGGACGCAAGUCUGAACCAGCCAUGCCGCGUGCAGGAAGACGGCUCUAUGAGUUGUAAACUGCUUUUGUACGAGGGUAAAUCCCGAUACGUGUAUCGGGUUGAAAGUAUCGUACGAAUAAGGAUCGGCUAACUCCGUGCCAGCAGCCGCGGUAAUACGGAGGAUUCAAGCGUUAUCCGGAUUUAUUGGGUUUAAAGGGUGCGUAGGCGGUUCGAUAAGUUAGAGGUGAAAGCCCGGGGCUCAACUCCGGCAUUGCCUCUGAUACUGUCGGGCUAGAGUUUAGUUGCGGUAGGCGGAAUGUAUGGUGUAGCGGUGAAAUGCAUAGAGAUCAUACAGAACACCGAUUGCGAAGGCAGCUUACCAAACUACGACUGACGUUGAGGCACGAAAGCGUGGGGAGCAAACAGGAUUAGAUACCCUUGUAGUC
rnacentral:rRNA from 1 species